UGAAUAUACAAUAUGAUAUCUGAAAAUUGUUUACAGAGAAAAUCUAAGAGGAGAUUAUUAAUAACACAUGCUCAAGCAGAUAGAUGUUGAUGUAAAAUGUGCACCAUUUUGUAAUAGUGUAUAUCUGUUGAUUUCUUCAUUCCAGUUUGAAGCACUUCAGAGGAAUUUAUAUAUUUUUGAUUUUGGAGAGUUUUUAUAAAGAUGACCAGAGGGUUAUCAAGUACUUGCUGUGAAAACUAUUUUAUUUCUUUGACAUACUUUUGAAAUAUUUUUUCAGUCUAGACUUUUGACAUUUACUUUUGACUUUACAUAUAGACUAACCACAUUUACUAAAAGCACUAGAUUAUGCAUCUGUGUGUCCUUCUUUUUCCAAUUCCUGUUCAACCUUUUAGACAAUUUUCUACUGCAUUCUAUCUCAGAAACUUGAUGAAGAGAUAACCAGAUCCACAUUGAAUAUCAUCAUUAUCUAUGGUCAUUCAAGGAUCAAAAGGCAACUUUGAAAUGGUAACCAGUACUUAUGCAUGAGUGUGUCAACAAAAUUUCUCAAACCCAUAACUACAGAAUGUAUGUACCUUAUCACAUACAGAACAACUUUAACAGUUCUUUUGCUUACAUGCAACCAAACUUUUCCAACUAGUAAAUCAAUACUAAGUUGCAGGUGAAGCGAGGGUAACCCUGCUACCUCACCUUGGCUUAUCUUGAGCUAACUUCACACUAACUUGUUGAGCGGUUUACACCUCCUGGUGAGGCAGUGCUGGAGAUGUUGACACUGCCAAUCAUCACUAUGGACUUUUGUUGAGGCCAGUGGCAGGCCUCAGACUACCUAAGGCUCCUACAGCCCUUACUACCACCCAAGGGGGCAUGGACCUAAGGGCAAGGGGCGGGAGCAGCGGAGGAGAGGGACCAGACACACCCAUGCCACCACAGUCCACACAAACUUACACCCCAUGUCUGGCAGAUGCCUUUCUCCUACAAAAGAACAAAUUUGUUCAAAACUGCCCUCAAUACUUCCAAUAUUGUGGAUUCAAGACAUCCACCAAUCGCUGCCUACUGAUGCUUUUUGUUGACACUGACAUUAGUCAUUAACACUUGGUCACAAGUUCCUUGAAUACCAAUGCUCAAGUAGUGUCAUAUUAGAUAUAUCAGAUAGAUAAGUCUGUUUGCAUUUAUUAACACUUUAUUGGUUAAGGUACUUAUGGAGAUGUUAGGUUUACUUCAUUUGGUAAUAUCCCCUCUCAAUAAGACAAAAAGAGUGCCAUCAAAUAGUUAAACUGUAUGGCAAUACAGUCUCAACAAAUGAACAAAUUAUGUAAUCUAGUGAAAAUUACAAGAGUUUAAUGAUAUAACUGAUGUUACUGUGGUUCUAGUUCUUGUAUAUUUAGUUGUCCAGUCUUGAACUGUAGUAAUACUUACCAUUUCUAACUGACUCUUUAAGAGAAUGUUAGACUACUUACCUACAAUUUUGUCAGACACUAAACUUGACAUGGCUUUAACAUGAUCUUGUUCAUUUCCUGAGUUAUCGCUUUUGUCUUUCAUACCUCAAUCAUUUGUGUGCUAACCUAUCAAUAAAUACUGAAUAUGCUGAAUUUUACAAACAAUUCAACCUAUCACUGAUCAAAUAUUCUAUUAAGUUAAAGAAAGAACUUGCAAUAUGAUAAUAGUGCAUUGCAGAAUUUAACACAUGAUUCCGGUAUCUUAAAAGGAAAAUCAACAGAUAUGAAAAUUAAUUACUUCAUCUUAAACUGUAUUAUUUUCAUUAUAGGUAAUACAUUCCUAUUCAUUAAAACAUUUAUAGAAAUCUUUUAAUGGUUUAUAUUAACUUUCAACAAAUUCUAUUUGUUGCAUGUAAAAGCAAAACUAUGAAAUGUAACCAUAGCAAGAUGCAUGAGGGCUUAUUUCAUGCAGUCACAAUUUUCCAGGUAAGCUUAAAAGUAAAAGAGAACUAAAGUAAAAUAAUAGUAGUGUGAAUGAGUUAUGCAUUGUAAGUGAAUCCCAUCUUCAGUGUAAUAAGGUAUUAAGUAGAGUUUGUUAUUUUAGGGAUUAUAACUUCCAGUAUACCAUCAUCAAAGGCUGAAUACUGAUGAUGCUUUUUUUCAGUCGUUCAGAUUUUUUUUUUUUUUUUU
rnacentral:lncRNA from 1 species